GGCUGAAACAUUUCAAGGUGGAAGGCAAUUUGACAUUUCUUCAGCGGAACCCAGCACCUGAAUAUGGCGAGUAAAUUUGAUUUAAUAUCAAUACUACUUAGUGUUCUUUGUUACUUCUAUCUGCUGUCAUUAAUUGCCACAUAAGUUAAACCCUACCUAAUGGAAUGACGUUAAACAAUGACUUUGGUGCUGAGUUACCAACUGGAUAAUAUCAAAGCUAAAAUAAUGGCCGUCCUUCCCAUGUGUUACAGUAGAAGAUACUCUGUAUCUGUACAAGGUUAAAAAGGUAACAUGUAGUUUGUCCCAAGGUGUCCACCUCCUCACCCAGAGCCAGACCUCCACCUCCUCACAAGUCCUCCAGAACAGCUGAAAGGCAAGGCUGGGGGCCGGAGGCUUGUGGUGCCAGGGUGGACCGGAGACUGAGGCUGGAGACCAGGGGCCUGCAGCACCGGACCAGGGGACCAGGAAUCCAUGGCUGAAGGAGCUGAUGGAGCCGUGCUGAAGGAGCUGACGGAGGCCCUGCCUGGUGGAGGAUGUCUGUCGUGGGGUAGAUGGAGCCUGACUCUGAAACCAGGACUCUGUCUGAGGAGAGCUGAUGGAGGAGCUGAGACGCUGGAGGACGACUAGGAAUCGACCAACAGGGAUUCCUCGACGUAUUUCUGGAGCGGAGGCGAGCUGGUAGGGGAGCCAUGAAUCUGGAGGAUGACCAUGACUCUACCAACAAGGAUUACACACCUGAGCUGAACCUCACCUGAUCCUGUUUGGUCGGGGGCAGACACACCUGCGCUGAACCCGCCCUGAUCCUGACAUCCUGCUGGUCCCGUCUCCUCAGUUCAUCUGAGCCUCGUCCUCCAGAAGACCUGCUGAGCUCAGCAGUCUGAGGCUGAUGGAUCAAUGACCUCCAGUGGGAGUGAUCUUCUUGACCCCACAUACCAGGAAUCCAUGGCUGAUGGAGCUGAUGGAGGAGCCGUGCUGAAGGCCCUGCCUGGUGGAGGAGCUGAUGGAGGCCCUGCCUGGUGGAGGAGUCGUGCUGCAGGCCCUGCCUGGUGGAGGUGCUGAUGGAGGCCCUGCCGGGUGGAGGAGCCGUGCUGAAGGCCCUGCCUGGUGGAGGAGCUGAUGGAGGCCCUGCCUGGUGGAGGAGCCGUGCUGAAGCCCUGCCUGGUGGAGGAGCUGGUGGAGGCCCUGCCUGGUGGAGGAGCUGGUGGAGGCCCUGUCUGGUGAAGGACGUCCGUCGUGGGACCAGGACUCUGUCUGAGGAGAGCUGCUGGAGGACGACUAGGAAUCGACCAACAAGGAUUCCUUAGACCAAUUACGUUUGUAACCAGACCAGGAAUCUGGAGGACUGUACAUCUAGAAGGCAGAUCCUGAGGACCACCAGUACUCUACCAUUAAGGAUUCCUCACGCACCUGAGCUGAACCCGCCCUGAUCCUGACAUCCUGCUGGUCCCGUCUCCUCAGUUCAUCUGAGCCUCGUCCUCCAGAAGACCUGCUGAGCUCAGCGGUCUGAGGCUGAUGGAUCAAUGACCUCCAGUGGGAGUGAUCUUCUUGACCCCACAUGUAACCGUGUGCUUCCACACGCCUUUCCCUCACGUCUGUCACUAACCUCACUACUUCACUUCUCUCUACUGCUUCCUCUUCUUCUUCCUUCUCUGUGGUUCGAACCUUUACUCCGAAGGCGCGUCUUCCAGCCCUCAGAGGGUUUAGCGUUAGGGUUGAGAUAUAGGGUUUAGAGUCAGGGACAGAGCUGGUCAGGGAGGACUGCUUUUACACAAACCUCUUCACUUGCUUUCGGAAUGGUGGUGACAUUUUGAAAAGAUUCAUUUGGGAAAAUGUUUUCAUCUGCUUCCCUUUACAAAAUUGUAUUUAACUUCUGUCAAGUGUUUUUGUUUAUAUAUUAAAAUCCCACAUUGACUUCUACAUGUUUGGUGCGGUUCAUUUAAUUGUCCUUUUAACUUGGUUAAUGUCAAGCUAAACUCCUGCAAUACAUUUAAUAUACAUGAUUGUUAUUCAGCAAUGUUCACAUAAUCCAUUUAGUAAAAAUAUGAAACCUCAAUAUUACUACAAAAUUCAAGCCUAUUCAUGUAUUUAACAAUGUACAUACUGCCCUGCAGGCCAUUCUCUGCUACUACAACACUUUCAAACCACCAACCCAUCUCA